UACGGAGGGGGCAAGCGUUGUUCGGAGUCACUGGGCGUAAAGGGCGCGUAGGCGGUGCGUAAAGUCAGGCGUGAAAGCCCCGGGCUUAACCUGGGAAUUGCGCUUGAUACUGACGUGCUAGAGAACGGGAGAGGAUGGCGGAAUUCCACGUGUAGCAGUGAAAUGCGUAGAGAUGUGGAGGAACACCGAUGGCGAAGGCAGCCCCCUGGGUCAAGAUUGACGCUCAUGCACGAAAGCGUGGGGAGCAAACAGG
rnacentral:rRNA from 1 species